UACGUAGGGUGCAAGCGUUGUCCGGAAUUAUUGGGCGUAAAGGGCGCGUAGGCGGCUCUGCACGUUCGUUGUGAAAUCGCCCGGCUCAACUGGGCGGGGUCAGCGGAUACGGCAGAGCUUGAGCAAGCUAGGGGGCAAUGGAAUUCCCGGUGUAGUGGUGGAAUGCGUAGAUAUCGGGAGGAACACCAGUGGCGAAGGCGGCUUCCUGGGCCGACACUGACGCUGAGGCGCGAAAGCCAGGGGAGCAAACAGG
rnacentral:rRNA from 1 species